rnacentral:tRNA from 1 species
GAGGGUAGAGCUCAGCGGUAGAGCACGUGCUUAGCAUACACGAGGUCCUGGGUUCAAUCCCCAGCACCUCCA